GACCCAGUGGCAAUUGGUGUGCAUCUGCCCACAUUAUUAAUCCCAAAUCAAAGGUACGACGGAUGAACCUGGUUCGAUUCCAGGCUGGGUCU